rnacentral:rRNA from 1 species
ACAUGCAGUCGAGCGCCCCGCAAGGGGAGCGGCAGACGGGUGAGUAACGCGUGGGAACGUACCUUUUGCUACGGAAUAACUCAGGGAAACUUGUGCUAAUACCGUAUGUGCCCGAAAGGGGAAAGAUUUAUCGGCAAAGGAUCGGCCCGCGUUGGAUUAGCUAGUUGGUGAGGUAAAGGCUCACCAAGGCGACGAUCCAUAGCUGGUCUGACAGGAUGACCAGCCACACUGGUACUGAUAUGCGGCCCUGACUCCU